CAAUAGCGUAUAUUAAAGUUGUUGCAGUUAAAAAGCUCGUAGUUGGAUUUGUGGCGUACGGUGUGUUCCGGGCACUUGUUGUCUGAGUAACCUGCUGUUGCCAUCCUUGGGUGGAACCUGUGUGGCAUUAGGUUGUCGUGCAGGGGAUGCCCAUCAUUUACUGUGAAAAAAUUAGAGUGUUCAAAGCAGGCUUAUGCCGUUGAAUAUAUUAGCAUGGAAUAAUGAGAUAGGACUUUUUUGCUAUUUUGUUGGUUUGCGCAAAGAGGUAAUGAUUAAUAGGGACAGUUGGUGGUAUUCGUAUUCCAUUGUCAGAGGUGAAAUUCUUGGAUUUUUGGAAGACGAACUACUGCGAAAGCAUUUACCAAGGAUGUUUUCAUUAA
rnacentral:rRNA from 1 species